rfam:Camelus ferus unplaced genomic scaffold scaffold245, whole genome shotgun sequence.
UUUUUAGUACAAGUAUAGCCCAUGCAAUAUUUGGGAUAUACUUAUACUAAAA